CAUCCAAGUGACAGUGAAGUGGCUGAGACAGCUGAGACAUGAGUGUCUCAAAGAAGCAGGGACUGCCGGUGGAUGGUUCGGGUGUGAGACUUGCUUAAAAUUCAAAAUAGGGAACUACAGAGCAAAGCUGUCAAGAUGUGGAUGUGCGGAGGAGUCAGGUAAUGCAGAGGAGAGGAGCAGAGACGGGCCUGAACAGAGAGAAGUAACCCUGCUGCAACAUCAAGAAAUCCAGCCGAGCUGAAGUGAGCUCACCUGCCCGAGUUUUUGAAGCCAGAGUGUUAGAAGCAGAGAUGAUGGAGACGAGAUGUGCUGGUGAGCGACAUCUUUCAGCCCUGACCCUCUUUGUAAUACUGUACGCCACCCCCAUCAAAUUUCAUCCCACCUACAGCUCUCAACAAAAGAAAAUAUCCCGACCAUACGCCUUCACUCGAAGCUGUGGCCGAGGCAGGAAGUCCUGGCUGUCACCUCUGUGUGGCCUCGUGCCUCCAGGCUGGUGAAAGUGCAGAUGUGGCAGUGAGGGGCAGCUGGAUCUGUUUCUAAGACUGCUAACAGCAUGGCUGUCAAACGCUCCCAGGACCAGUGACACACGCAGAACGAACUGAUACCAG